UACGGAGGGUGCGAGCGUUUGUCCGGAAUCAUUGGGCGUAAAGGGCGCGUAGGUGGCCCCUCAAGCGUGCGGUGAAAGUCAGGGGCUCAACCCCUGAUCGGCCGUGCGAACUGGGGAGCUUGAGCACUGUAGAGGCAGGCGGAAUUCCGGGUGUAGCGGUGGAAUGCGUAGAGAUCCGGAAGAACACCGGUGGCGAAGGCGGCCUGCUGGGCAGUUUUGCUGACACUGAGGCGCGACGAGCGUGGGGAGCAAACAGG
rnacentral:rRNA from 1 species